rnacentral:rRNA from 1 species
UGCGAAGCGAAGCAGUGAUGUGAAGCAAAUCGCACCAAAGCCGGUCCCAGUUCGGAUAAGAGGCUGAAACUCGCCUCUUUGAAGUCGGAAUCGCUAGUAAUCGCAGAUCAGCAUGUUGCGGUGAAUACGUUCCCGGGUCUCGUACACACCGCCCGUCAAACCAUGAGAGUCACCAACACCCGAAGUCCGCUUUGGCGGCCUAAGGUGGGGGAGAUGAUUGGGGUUAAGUCGUAACAAGGUAGC